UAAAUAUUACAAUACAUUAAUGACAGAAUGCUGCUUUAAAGUAACGAGACCCGAGAAGAAAAUAAAAGCAAAAUACAGAUGAGCUGCAGCUAGCAACUUAAACUACAAUUCUGCACUAAACCUUCCACCCAGCUCGACUGCCCUGGCCACAGCCCAUGACAGAGAGAGUCCUGUUGGUCAAAGGUCCAGCGUCCCUAAAAAUCGACAAACUAGAAGUCUUGAUACGAGAUCAGUUGUCAGAACCAUAUUGCAAAAAUAUUCAGAGCAGCACAACAGAUCAAUGGCGAGUCUAUGCUGCAGCAAGACCAUGUCUCAUGCCCAGGGUUUUAGAUAAGGCUAGCCCAUCUAUGGGAAAGGUAAUGACAAAAUUUUGAUUUUCAUUU